rnacentral:rRNA from 1 species
UACGUAGGAUGCAAGCGUUGUCCGGAAUUAUUGGGCGUAAAGAGCGCGCAGGCGGUAUGACAAGUCAGAUGUGAAAGAGGCCGGCUUAACCGGCAAGGGUCAUUUGAAACUGUCAGACUAGAGUGCAGCAGAGGAUAGUGGAAUUCCCGGUGUAGUGGUGAAAUGCGUAGAUAUCGGGAGGAACACCGGUGGCGAAGGCGGGUCUCUGGGCAACAACUGACGCUGAGGAGCGAAAGCGUGGGGAGCGAACAGG